AUACGUAGGUGACAAGCGUUAUCCGGAUUUACUGGGCGUAAAGGGCGUGUAGGCGGUCUUGCAAGUCAGAAGUGAAAUUCCUGAGCUCAACUCGGGCGCUGCUUCUGAAACUGCAGGACUUGAGUGCUGGAGGGGAUAGCGGAAUUCCUAGUGGAGCGGUAAAAUGCGCAGAUAUUAGGAAGAACACCGGUGGCGAAGGCGGCUAUCUGGACAGUAACUGACGCUGAGGCGCGAAAGCGUGGGGAGCAAACAGGAUUAGAUACCCUGGUAGUCCACGCUGUAAACGAUGAAUACUAGGUGUGGGGGGACUGACCCCCUCCGUGCCGCAGUUAACACAAUAAGUAUUCCACCUGGGGAGUACGGCCGCAAGGUUGAAACUCAAAUGAAUUGGCGGGG
rnacentral:rRNA from 1 species